CCUACGGGAGGCAGCAGUGGGGAAUAUUCCACAAUGGGCGAAAGCCUGAUGGAGCGACGCCGCGUGAGUGAAGAAGGGCUUCGGCUCGUAAAGCUCUUUUCUCCUUGACGAAUUAGUCUUCGGGACAGUUGACGGUAGAGGGGGAAUAAGCCACGGCUAACUACGUGCCAGCAGCCGCGGUAAU
rnacentral:rRNA from 1 species